CGCCCGCCCGCCGCCCGCUCCGCCGCCCGGGGCCGCCGCGGCACCGCCGCCCGCCCCAGGUAGCCCUUGGGGAUGUGCUCAGCAGCGGGCCUGGGAAGCGUUCACCAAAACAAUCGCUCGGGCUGGCCUAAUCCAAUGAGUUUAUUUUAGUCCUCGAGCUAUAUUGAAAACAUUCGCUCUGCUUCUUGUGGUUGUUUACAGUAUGUUGGUCUCAACAUCAUAGCCGCCCUUCUGGAAAAGUCUUACAGGAUUCAGGCAGAGGGAAACCAACACAGAAGUGACUCGGAAAGCAUGAUGGCAAAUGAUUAAUCAAAUCAGAGACAGAAAGGCGGAGUUAUGAUUUUCGAUGACAAGAGCCAGCACGGGGUGAAUGCAGGCACGGGGUGGCCCCGACCCGCGGGCUGGCCCUCGAGGGACAUGUCACUGACAACGGAUGGGCAUCUGGCGCUUGGCUGGGGCAGGGGCGUCUGAAGAAAAACCGCGGGGCUUCGGUGUUGCUUUUAACAAGAUGUUCAGAAAAAAAAAAGUAUCAGAAUCAGACACACGUUGACUGCGCUUCCUCUGCUCCUUGCUUUGGAGGUGAUAUCGCUUGGUGCUUAUCAGCGACAACGUCUGCGGCAUCUGGCUCUGUGGCCGCCUGCAUAUCAUGA
rnacentral:lncRNA from 13 species